rnacentral:lncRNA from 14 species
GCUGCAUAAAAGCACACACCACUUUUUGGUGAAGGGAAGCCUGGGACUGGGACUUGGUGCUCUCCUGUUGCACAGAAAAGCCUUGUCCAACAGUUUUCCUGCAAACCACCCAAGCAGUCUAACUGGCAGCUGCUUGCCACAUGCCAUCAAGCCCCAGUUCUUGCAAAGCAGAUGUUUCAGUUUGUGUUCCACGUCUUUUUCACUGUCUGUGGAGUGAUCUUCAUCACAGAGGCUUUGAGCAACCUGGUCUAGUGGAAGGUGUCCCUGGCCAUGGCAGAGGGUUGGAACUUGAUGAUCUUAAGGAUCUUUCCAACACAAACCAUUCUAUGAUUCAUUAGUCCUUUGUAUCCUUAAGAAAGCAGCACAAAGGCAAACGGACCCUGACAGGAUCCUUCGUGACCAAUGUGAUAUGAGUAACAUGGAAGAAGAGCUUGAAACCAAAGGGAGAUUCUCCUGCAUCUGUCCUGGGGUGCCUGAACUUUCUGCAGAAAUGCUUCAGUGUUUGGCUGAAAAGAAAGGGGGCAUCUGGGGCAUGAUGAAACGGAAGACCUGACACAGUAAGCGAAGCAAGGGGAUAUCUGGAUAUGAAAGGCCACUUUAUCAGUGAUGUGCAGAUCAGCUUCCAGCACUGCCCCAGUGGACAUCCUCGCAGGAUCCCUGCUUGAUGUGAAAGGAAAGUGCAAUUGUCAUCUGGAAAUUUACCCUCUCUGGUUAUAAUCAAUCCAUUGCAAAGUGAUUUGGUGUGUGUAGUCAAUAUUGUGGUGCUGUGGGACUAGGUGUAUGCAUUGAUAUUGUCUGUGUAUCAGGACUAACCUUUCACAUUAGAGCCUAAACAGUUUUUCACAGUGGGAAUUACUGAGUAGUAUUUGGAUUAUUGUUGAAAGCAUAUGGCUAUUCUCUGAUGAAAAAUAUCGGUUUAUAUGCAGAAAAGGUUAUAGCCUCUCCCUAUUUUAAAAUCUGUUUGAUUGCCAUAGGAGAUGUCCUAAUGUUUAUGUAGGACAUCCUUAAAAGUCUAUGAUACCAGGAACUUUAAAAGGCCUGAACUGCUUUUUGCGACUGCAAGUUGAAGAUCUGUGCUCAGAAACACCUGUGGCACUGAGAGUCUUCGAUUCAUUCUGGUGUAGUGGACUUAUGUUUUAUUUCUGCAGCUUAUGAAUCUUUUAGCUGGGCACUUGGAUGGUAGAAAGGAGAUAGUAAUUCCCACCCAAGGAGCUGCAGAAAGAAAUGUGCUUUUGGAAGAUGAACGUACAUUCCUGCCUAGGGUGCUGUGCUGUUCAGAAAUAACUGAAUGCUGCUUGCUAUAGUUCUCAAAAUGCAUUUUGAUGCAGAAUAAAUCAGGCUGACCAAAGAACA